rnacentral:sRNA from 1 species
GCCCAUGUCGAAGAAGGAUGGUAAGAACCCUCACCGGGUUCGAGCAGAGCAGCUUGCUGCGAUGAAAGGCCGCAGGCCGCCCCGAAGGAGUAAGCCACGCAGUGGCGAAUGAUCCUUCCCUCAUAACCA